GAAGUGAUAAACCACUUAACGAGACGGAAACUAGGCUAGGACUUCACCUUUAUGUCCCUAUCGUAAUGGUUCACUAAGUUUAUUGUAAACUAUGUAGUGAACAAUAAACACAUGCUCUCCAAAAUGUUUGAUGUGUAUAACACAAUUGAAAUAAGUUUCAAGAGAGAUAGUGGGAGUUUAGGGACCAUGACUAUUGUAGUCAAAGGAGAAGUCAAAUGAAGAAGAUAAAAAUAACUCCAAGGGAACAAACUUUCUUUAUGAAAGGAUGGACAUUGGAAGGGGUAUUUGCAAGAAAUGUCUUGCAAGUGUCAAGAACACACCUUUCGAAGGUGUUGUAAAUUGUUCUUGAAUAGUUCAAAACAGUUGAUUCUUCUACUUGAAUGCUUGAUUUCGUAUUAGUAACUAUGUUUUACAAUCGUUGUAAAAGUAUGGCUAAUAAGAAGUAGAAGAUUAAUGAGAGAAGAGAAAGUACUUCACAUUCGGAAAGUGAAUCAAAUGUAGAUCUCUGCGAAAGCAAAUGGUACUUACUUCCUCAUAUGAACUACCAAAGAAAUUUGAAAAACUAAAGAUUGUCUUUACAUUCCAAUUUUAAGGAACUUAAUUCCGUCACUAUAAGAGAUGGAUGAAUGUUUUGUUUGACAAAACAUUGUUCUUUAUUAAUGAAUGAUUAGAUUAUUGUAAUCUAAUUGAUUGUCUCUAUAGUAGAGAUGAUUUGGUAGUGUUAACUGUUUAGAAUAUAACGAUGCUUAAAACCCAAAAGGUUGCAAGGUAGUGACUAAUCCCAAUUGAGUUGUGAUACCUCUAAAACAUAAAUUACGAGUUGGUCAUAGAUGGAUGCUUUGUAUCGUUAGAUCCGGAUCCAAUACCUUCUUGUUAAAAUUGUAUAGAGGCGAAAUGUUCGAAUCUUUAUUCUUUUGGAAAGAAGAAAGAAUCACAAAGUUGUUGAGGUUAAUUCACUUAGAUGUUAGUGGCACUUGUCCACAACAUAAUACUACUCAUGUUUUUGACAUUCACCGAAGAUCAUUCUCGGUUGGACUAUUAUUUUGAAUAAACACAAGUCCGAAUACUUUGCAAAAGGUUUCAAAGAAUUCAAGAAAUGUAAGUUGAUGAGUAAGAUGUCUAAAGUAUUUACCUUUUUAGAUUUGAUCCAAGAUAAGGUAACACUUUAGAACAGUUUCCUUGAAAGAUAUCAAGGAAAGAAGCAUAAUAAGAUAAUGGAUUUCUCCAUUAAGAGAAGAAUGAACUCGAAUAAGAUUUAGUUCGUUGGAUGUUAUCAAUUACCCAUAGAUAUAGUAUAUAUAUACUUCUAAGACAAUAUGAUUGUCAAUUAGAAGAUCUUCCAAAAUUUUCAUGACUCCAUAGGAUGUAGUUGGAAAGAAAGACAAAUCUUAAUCAUGUUAAGAUUUGGGGUUGUGUGCUAAUAAGCAAUAUUUGUUUAAAAAUUAUCUUGUGGGUAUCCUUAAAUUAACAUUUGGAUAUCACUUCUAUAAACCAACUAACAAAUGUUGUUUGUUGGGUAGUUCAUUGUAAUCCUACACUAGGAUUUGCCUAAGAUAGCGCAAAUGAAUGAGAGAUAGAACUCAAAGAAUGGGUUCUUUGAGAAACAAGAUAGUGAUCAACAAAUAUAACAACCUAGUUCCUAUACCACAAGCUCCAAGGUAGUCGAGAAGGAUUUAUAAACCGUCUCAGUUGAAUGGUUUGAACUUUAUGACUAUGUCAUAGAGUUACACCUCUUAAUUCGAAAGAAAUAAGAAUGAGAAUCCUUAUGACUACAUUGAGUGUAUAUACGACAUAUACUCAAGGAAAUGGUAAAGUACCAUUUGACCCGAAAUAAUGAAACCUUUAUAGCUAAUUGGUAGCUUAAGGUCACUACAAUCAAAGAGAUUGGUUGACUUUGAAGAAACCAUCUUUUACGUAGUCUUGGUUUCAAUUAAUUCAAAGAUUGCUAGCUACAACUAAAUGGUGAUUCAAUGUUUGGACAUUAUAUGGGUUUCCGAAACCAUUAUUAAGAUAGUCUUGAUAAUAUAUAUGUCUAAAACUAUGAAUCACAAGACAUGUAAGUUGUAGAGAUCCAUCCAUCAUGGAUCUUAGCAAGCUAGUGGGAGCUAUAAGUGUCUUAUGAGAGAAAGAUCAAAUUGUUUGAUUUCUCAUAAAGAUGUGAAUGAAUCUUUUGUUUACUAGGUUUACAAAAGAUUAGUGGGAGUUAAUCAUAUUCCUAAAUUUAAAUAUAUAUAUAUAUAUAAACACAUAUAUGAUAUAUUAAUUUUGGAAAUGAAACAUUCUAUAACGAUAGAAUGUAUAUGGGAGAUAUAGUCUAAAAACAUGGGAUAGAAAUCUAUAAUGAUAUAUUUCAAGAUAUAAUUCGAUUAUAUCAGUCCCUAAUAAUAGACAAGAGAUGCUAGGAAGUUUCUCAUAUGAUGAUAAACUUCAAUUAGAAUGACGACUCUAGUGAGACUAGCAAGUUGCCCUUCUCAAAGGGAACGUACCCUUUGACUCUGAAAGAAAUAAUGCGUAAAUAGAAUCCUUUAUGCAUACGCAGAAAGGUGAUUUAUGUAUUUCAUAUUGUAUGAAAAACAUUAAUAUGAGUUGUACCUAGAAAGGUACAAGACGAUAUCAGUGCAAGCCCAGGAUCAGAACCAUGGCAACUGUCAAGUGAGUCCUUGAGUAUUUAAGAAAUACUAAAGGAUAGAUUCCUCAAAGAAUGAGGAAGAAUUAGAUUAACGUAAUGGAAGCGUAAAUGUAUUAGAUUAUGAAUCUAAUCCAUCAUUGGAUGUUUCUUCAUUAUGAAUGAAGAAAUAAUCAGAUAUCUCUUUAUUAUGACUAAAGAGAUAUUUGGAUGGAAACAUUAAAAGUAAUGACUUUAGUGUGUUCCAUUAUGAAUGCAAAAUAUAUUGCCAUAUAGAAGCUUACAACAAUGUUGUUUGGAUGGGAAAGUUCAUUUAUGAACUCUCUAUUCGGUUCCAACUAGAAAGUGUCU
rnacentral:lncRNA from 1 species